AGCGAGCUCUCGUUCAGGCCCGCCGCCAUCAGAGCCAUCCGCCGCUGCUGCUGCUGCACGGUGUGGCUCUGCGAGAAAAAAAGGCGAGGCCGGAGCGUUGCUCUACGCUGCAGGGACUCUAACGGAGUACACGAUGAAAACAACGGGAAGGCCCCAAUGGGAAAAGCACGCAACAUUUAAAAGAGCGCAACAUGCCAGCUUGGCUUGCAAGAGUAUGACCGAUACCGCAACCUGUGACCACUGCAGCCAUGAAGAUUUUGUGCACCGGCCCGUAGUACAGUCCUCAGAGGGAAUGCCUUCGCCACGAACUUGACGAGCUGGACGACCAACCGCCGUCGGAAAAAAAGAAUUUUACGCCAUCGAAAGGACCUACCGUGACAGAAGAACGCCGUGCAAGCACUAUUACGCAUUUUGAGAUCUACCGGCCUUUGUGAACGUCUUUAACUGGAACGCUUGUGUGCCUCCGUGUGUGCGUGUUUCCUUUAACGCUUUCCUUUCUGUCCUCUUUCUAACCCAUAUCUCCCAUCCCCAGUGUAGGGUAGCAAACCGGAGACUGAUAUCCAGUUAACCUCCCUGCCUUUCCUUUUCAUAUCUCUCUCUCUCUCUCUGUAACUGCAUAUUGACACUUCAUUUGUAAUUGUUCUUCUUUCUCAUUUUGUUUUGUCCUCCUACAAUAGCCCCCUUGGGAUUGGCAGCAUGUAAUAAAUAAAAUAAAUAAAUAAAUUUA